CCUACGGGGGGCAGCAGUGAGGAAUAUUGGUCAAUGGGCGCGAGCCUGAACCAGCCAAGUAGCGUGAAGGAUGACUGCCCUACGGGUUGUAAACUUCUUUUAUAAAGGAAUAAGGUGAGGCACGUGUGCCUUUUUGUAUGUACUUUAUGAAUAAGGAUCGGCUAACUCCGUUCCAGCAGCCGCGGUAAGACGGAGGAUCCGAGCGUUAUCCGGAUUUAUUGGGUUUAAAGGGAGCGUAGAUGGGUUGUUAAGUCAGUUGUGAAAGUUUGCGGCUCAACCGGAAAAUUGCAAUUGAUACUGGCAGCCUUGAGUACAGUUGAGGUAGGUGGAAUUCGAGGUGUAGCGGUGAAAUGCUUAGAGAUGACGAAGAACUCCGAUUGCGAAGGCAGCCUACUAAACAGACACUGACAUUGAUGCUCGAAAGUGUGGGUAUCAAACAGGAUUAGAUACCCUUGUAGUC
rnacentral:rRNA from 1 species